ACACGUGAAACCCUGUGGGAAGCAGGAGGGACCACCCUCCAAGGCUAAAUACUACCUAGUGACCGAUAGCGUAUAGUACCGUGAGGGAAAGGUGAAAAGAACCCCGGGAGGGGAGUGAAAUAGAACCUGAAACCCUGCACUUACAAGCUGUGGAAGCACAUUUCUUGUGUGACCGCGUACUUUUUGUAGAACGGGCCAACGAGUUACGUUAAGUAGCAAGGUUAAGCACUUAAGGUGCGGAGCCGUAGCGAAAGCGAGUUUUAACUGAGCGUUCAGUUACUUGACGUAGACCCGAAACCGGGCGACCUACCCAUGAGCAGGAUGAAGCGAAAGUAAAAUUUCGUGGAGGUCCGAACCCACGAGCGUUGAAAAGCUCGGGGAUGACUUGUGGGUAGCGGUGAAAUUCCAAUCGAGCCCGGAGAUAGCUGGUUCUCCCCGAAAUAGCUUUAGGGCUAGCCUCAAGGUGAGAGAUACGGAGGUAGAGCACUGAAUGUCCUAGGGGGUAUUGCACCUACCGAAGACUAUCAAACUCCGAAUGCCGUCAUCUUAUACUUGGGAGUCAGACUGUGGGUGAUAAGAUUCAUAGUCGAAAGGGCAACAGCCCAGAUCGUCAGCUAAGGUCCCUAAAUGUAAGUUAAGUGGUAAAGGAUGUGGGAUUGCACAGACAACCAGGAUGUUGGCUUAGAAGCAGCCACUCAUUCAAAGAGUGCGUAAUAGCUCACUGGUCGAGUGAUCCUGCGCCGAAGAUUUCCGGGGCUAAAACUUACUACCGAAGCUACGGCAUCAGUAAUGAUGGGUAGGGGAGCUUCCCAUACGGGUUGAAGCAUGACCGUAAGGACAUGUGGACAGUAUGGGAGUGAGAAUGUUGGCAUGAGUAGCGAGAUGUGGGUGAGAAUCCCACAGGCCGUAAACCCAAGGUUUCCAGGGGAAGGUUCGUCCGCCCUGGGUUAGUCGGGACCUAAGCUGAGGCCGAAAGGCGUAGGUGAUGGACAACAGGUUGA
rnacentral:rRNA from 1 species